rnacentral:rRNA from 1 species
CUACGGGCUGCACCAGUGGGGAAUAUUGGACAAUGGGGGAAACCCUGAUCCAGCAAUGCCGCGUGUGUGAAGAAGGCCUGCGGGUUGUAAAGCACUUUCGGUUGGGAGGACUGCUUCUAGCACUAAUAUUGUUGGAAGUUGACGUUACCUUCAGAAGAAGCACCGGCUAACUCCGUGCCAGGCAGCCGCGGUAAUACGGAGGGUGCAGUGCGUUAGUCAGAAUUACUGGGAGUAAAGCGCGCGUAGGCGGCUAGAUCAGUCGGGUGUGAAAGCCCCGGGCUUAACCUGGGAACUGCAUCCGAUACUGUCUAGCUUGAGUACAGGAGGGGGGAGUGGAAUUCCACAUGUAGCGGUGAAAUGCGUAGAUAUGUGGAGGAACACCAAUGGCGAAGGCAGCUCUCUGGCCUGAUACUGACGCUGAGGUGCGAAAGCGUGGGGAGCAAACAGGAUUAGAUACCCGCGUAGUC